UAGCGGGUCUGAGAGGAUGAUCCGCCACACUGGGACUGAGACACGGCCCAGACUCUACGGGAGGCAGCAGUGGGGAAUUUUGGACAAUCGGGGGCAACCCCUGAUCCAGCCAUGCCGCGUGAGUGAAGAAGGCCUUCGGGUUGUAAAGCUCUUUCGGCUGGGAAGAAAUCGCAUCUCCUAAUACGGGGGUGUGGAUGACGGUACCAGCAUAAGAAGCACCGGCUAACUACGUGCCAGCAGCCGCGGUAAUACGUAGGGUGCGAGCGUUAAUCGGAAUUACUGGGCGUAAAGCGUGCGCAGGCGGUUUCGUAAGACAGAGGUGAAAUCCCCCGGGGCUCAACCUGGGGAACUGCCUUUUGUGACUGCGAGGCUAGAGUAUGGCAGAGGGGGGUGGAAUUCCACGUGUAGCAGUGAAAUGCGUAGAGAUGUGGAGGAACACCGAUGGCGAAGGCAGCCCCCUGGGGCCAAUACUGACGCUCAUGCACGAAAAGCGUGG
rnacentral:rRNA from 1 species